CAAGUACUCCCACCGUCUGGAAUUACUUGUCAUCAAAAUGGAUGUGUCUAGAACUAAAAUACAUCUAGAUACACCCAUUUCAAUGACAAGUAUUUUCGGACGGAGGGAGUACAAG
rnacentral:pre_miRNA from 1 species